AUAUAGUGGUGAUCGAAGCCGUGAAGGUACUAUGACAAAAAUGGAUGCCGCUCCAAGUUCGAUUAUUGUCUUGUUGGUUUUUGGAUUACUACUAUCCAAGUACCCUAGUUACAUGGUUAAGGCAGCUGAAGGGUUUUCCGACCUUUCUGUGAGUAGAUUUGAAGUGGUGUCAAACAAGGCCAAGCGGAUACCUCCACCACCGCCACCAAGGCGAUGGACUCGACCGGUACCGCGAACGGAACCGCUACCUCCAUCCCCACCGCCACCUCUCCCCUGAGCUAGUGAAGUUAGCAGCAUGAUGAAGGCGUGCAGCCAUAUAUGCAUGCAUGUGUGCUGUUUAGUAUACCCCUUAUUGGGCGUCGAGUUCUUCAAGUAGAUCAAUAAAAUCAUAGUUCAAACUCCUUCGAAUUCUGUAGUAGCAUCCAGUUUGCUAACUGUACAGUACUGUCAUUCGUAGUAUAUAUCCUACUAAUCCUAUUCUUUUAAUUUCCGGGAGUUCAAAGCUAGCAUAAGUAAAAUUUUCAGUCGUCAAUCUCCACCACCCGCACGAAAGGCAAUAAUAUUCAGUUCAUUUUAGGUGUUUUGAAGUCAAACAAAGAAAAGAAGAUAAUUGGGCUUAAUUAGGAUCCCUAAUCCUAGUUGGAUUGGUGAUGGACGUGAGAUAUAGGUUAACUAACCUAUUUAUACAAGGGAGCAGCCAAACAAGAGGAAAAACAAGAACCAGAGAGAGAAAAAGAGAAGAAA